rnacentral:lncRNA from 1 species
CAUUACCAUUUUUAAAACUCAGAGUCGCGGAAGAUGUACCAAAUUAUUUUUUAUUUUUUUUUUUUCAACCUGGCCCACGUGACGUACAGACCCGCCACAAAUACAAAGUUCUUCUGUCCACUCGGGCAGAGUCUCCUUUGUAUUUGCACGGCGUACCAACGGAUACAGCUGGAUCACAACCACAACCUAUAUUUACCAAUCAGCAACCAAUUCAUGUUAUGCAUUUUCAUACAGCUAACAAUCCUUAGAGAUGAUGCAUGCCUCUAAACACACCUUAGACGUUGGAUGAUGCAAUGCACAGUACAACAAUCAUCCUAUUUAAAAGUGCUCCCCACACAGAAGCUUUUGUUUUUAAAAUCUAAUUCAUUCAUACAUGAAAAUCAUUCAAAAUCUUUUGAAAACUGUUUCCCAUACGGAAACUCUAUUUUGAAAACCGACUACCUCGAGGGGUAGAAAACCACGAUGCGUAAAUCCAUAAAUACAAAUCCGAGAACCACAAAGUAUACAAACAUCCCAAAACUGAAGAUCCAUAAACCAAAUCCACAAUUCCACAAAUCCACAAAUUCAACCAGCUCACAACAUUCAAACAUCA